UCCUGUCAGAGGCUUGCCUGCUAGCUGCUAGUGAAGCUGAAGUGAUGGGGAGGGGUUUUGCCCCAGGGCCUAGGGCCUGGAGACUAGGCUGUCUAGCUGGGGAGCUGGCCAUUUACCUCUUGGUCCACUCUGUGCAGUCAGUCUGUGCGUCAGAGAUCCUCUGAGCCUCCUAGGUGCUGGAAAAAUAGACAUGAAGCACCAUGCCCAGACUUACAAUAUUUAUGGGACUUAAUCACAUACAACUUCUCUGAAGUCCUGGGGGUCAAACUCAAGGCCUGAAACAUGCUAGCCACUAAAAAAUACUCGUAUGGCGUUCCAGUUCAACAGGAAAGGAUUAGACCCUAGGGAAGGAAUCUCAAUCUGUGUUCUUGCUGCGCCCAGCUCCUGCUGUGGCACUGCGGUACCCAAUACAGUUGCCAAGAUGGCAGUCUGCAGAAACGCCCACACAAGAAAACUCCAGCGACCAACAACCAGAACCUGGAAAAUACACCCUGGAGAAAGCGCAGACGCCGGCCCCGCCC